AUUGUUAGGAUUCGUCCACAUUGGGACUUAUCUAAAAUAUUUCUAAUCCAUAUGGGAUAAGAAAUAAAUAUUUACAAUUAUCUGUUAUAUUCCUAGUCCACUUGGGAUAAAGAAUAAAUCUAACAGAUAAAUUCUAAUCUGUUUAAAUCUCUAUCUAUGUGAGAUUUAGUUUGAAUAUGAUUAGGAUUAAUAUCUCCCUGAUGGCCUAUAAAUACAUGAGGUAUUGACCACAUACAAAACACAACAAAAAAAAAAUAAAACAUAAUCAUCUCCACAAAAAAUUCUCUCUUUUGGGUUCGCUCUAGGGCACCAUCAUAAACCCUAGGGAUUUGGGCGGUGUGCGGCGAUCGACUCUAGUAGCCGGAUUGCAACGAGAAAGAACAACACGCAACAAAUUGAGACAGGACGUUGGCGGAUCAACGAGUUCGUAAAACAAGACGAGAUCAGAUCCUGAUAAUCACAAUAUUAAUUCCGCACCAUAAAGAGGUAUGUAAAAAUCUAUGUGAUUUCUGCGAUGAUUGAUUUUUGGGUAUUUAUUUAAUUUUAUCCAACAAU
rnacentral:lncRNA from 1 species